rnacentral:rRNA from 1 species
GGGUACGCGCCGCUGAGCAUUUACACAUUUUACCCGUGCCGCUGGUCCUGGUUCCCGGCCAGGCUUUGUACACAAGAUCAAAUAAUCUAUUUCCCGGACCCCCUGGAUACUCGUGUUGGAGUUCCCGCCCCCCCCCCCCCCGAAACCUUCACGUGUUUACCCGCCGAACUAAGCAUAUCACUAAGCGGAGGAAAAGAAACUAACCAGGAUUCCCUUAGUAACGGCGAGUGAACAGGGAAAAGCCCAGCACCGAAGCCUGUGGUCAUUUGGCCCCUAGGCAAUGUGGUGUUCAGGUUAGCUCGCGAAGAUGCUGCUCCACCCUAAGUCCUAUAAUGAGUAAGGUUACUCGGACAUGGCCCAAUGAGGGUGAAAGGCCCGUGGGGGUGGAGAUUCAGAAUGGCCAGUAUCUUCCUGAGCAGACCUUGGAGUCGGGUUGUUUGUGAAUGCAGCCCAAAGCGGGUGGUAAACUCCAUCCAAGGCUAAAUACUAGCACGAGUCCGAUAGCGAACAAGUACCGUGAGGGAAAGUUGAAAAGUACUUUGAAGAGAGAGUAAACAGUGCGUGAAACCGUUCAGAGGUAAACAGGUGGAGUUGAACUGCAAGCUCUGAGGAUUCAGCUGGUGAGUAUGGCAUGAGCUUGGUCAUAUUGGUUGUGUGCUCUGGUCUGCUUAGCUGCAGGUCCGCGCUUCGGGGGGAUUCGCGGAUCUCUCUCAGGCACGGACGGCUCGUAGAUACAACAA